UACGAGAGGUGCAAGCGUUAUUCGGAAUUAUUGGGCGUAAAGGGUGCGCAGGCGGCAUAUUAAGUCAAUCGUUUAAUUCCUCGGCCUAACUGAGGAUCAGCGGUAGAAACUGAUAAGCUAGAGGGCGAGAGAGAGAAGCGGAAUUCUCGGAGUAGCGGUAAAAUGCGUAGAUCUCGAGAGGAACACCGAUGGCGAAGGCAGCUUCUUGGCUCGUUUCUGACGCUCAUGCACGAAAGCGUGGGGAGCAAACAGG
rnacentral:rRNA from 1 species